CAAUGGACAAAGCAUCCCUCUCAUCGAAAUAGAUGAUGAUGAUGAUGAUGAUGUUGAUGACGAGGAUAAUGGAGAUUCGCAGCGAUCAAGGAACUCGUCAAUUGCCAUUAUUUCAAUGUCGCCACGCGAAAAUGAAGAAGAGGAAGAA